AGGCGUAGUACAAUGGUAGUACAUCUGCCUUCCAAGCAGACUACGCGAGUUCGAUUCUCGUCGCCUG
rnacentral:tRNA from 1 species